UACGUAGGGGGCUAGCGUUGUCCGGAAUUAUUGGGCGUAGAGAGCGUGUAGGCGGCUUGCCAAGUCCGAUGUGAAAACUGGGGGCUUAACCCCCAGCCUGCAUUGGAAACUGGCUUGCUUGAGUCCGGAAGAGGGGACUGGAAUUCCUGGUGUAGCGGUGAAAUGCGCAGAUAUCAGGAAGAACACCCGUGGCGAAGGCGGGUCCCUGGGACGGUACUGACGCUGAGACGCGAAAGCGUGGGGAG
rnacentral:rRNA from 1 species